rnacentral:rRNA from 1 species
GAUGAACGCUGGCGGCGUGCCUAAUACAUGCAAGUAGAACGCUGAAGGAGGAGCUUGCUCUUCUGGAUGAGUUGCGAACGGGUGAGUAACGCGUAGGUAACCUGCCUGGUAGCGGGGGAUAACUAUUGGAAACGAUAGCUAAUACCGCAUGACAACAGUUAUUGCAUGAUAACUGUUUAAAAGGGGCAACUGCUCCACUACCAGAUGGACCUGCGUUGUAUUAGCUAGUUGGUGAGGUAACGGCUCACCAAGGCGACGAUACAUAGCCGACCUGAGAGGGGGAUCGGCCACACUGGGACUGAGACACGGCCCAGACUCCUACGGGAGGCAGCAGUAGGGAAUCUUCGGCAAUGGACGGAAGUCUGACCGAGCAACGCCGCGUGAGUGAAGAAGGUUUUCGGAUCGUAAAGCUCUGUUGUAAGAGAAGAACGAGUGUGAGAGUGGAAAGUUCACACUGUGGCGGUAUCUUACCAGAAAGGGACGGCUAACUACGUG